rnacentral:lncRNA from 1 species
AAAGGAUCUAAGUCAGGUGUUUCAAUGAAAUGUUCUGGCUGUCAAGGGUCCGGGAUGAAAGUCACUAUCAGACACCUUGGCCCAUCCAUGAUCCAGCAGAUGCAACACGCUUGCAACGAGUGUAAGGGUAGUGGUGAGACAAUCAGUGAUAAAGAUAGGUGUGGACAGUGUAAAGGUGAGAAGGUUGUGCAGGAGAAGAAGGUGUUGGAAGUUGUUGUUGAGAAGGGUAUGCAGAAUGGACAGAAGAUUACGUUCCCGGGCGAGGCUGAUGAAGCGGUAAGACAUGCAGUUCAGCUUUUGAAGUACUUUACGUCAUAAUGACCAAUUGUAUAUGAACAUAUAAUGAAAGGCCACUGAUUCUCACAUGUUUGUGUUUAUAUUAUUUUUUUGCAGCCUGAUACUAUCACUGGGGACAUAGUUUUUAUCUUGCAACAGAAGGAACAUCCCAAGUUCAAGCGAAAGGGAGAUGAUCUUUUUGUAGAGCACACUUUGAGUUUGACUGAGGCCCUAUGUGGUUUCCAGUUCAUCUUGACUCACUUGGACAAUAGACAGCUACUCAUUAAGUCCCAACCUGGAGAAGUUGUCAAGCCUGGUAGGUCCACAGUACUUUAGUUGCUUAUAUAUACUGAGCACACUGUGUAUGUCUAUCUCCUGCUGUUUGUCAAAAUGGGGUGUGUUCUUAUUUGAUGAAGGGAGUAUCUUCUAUGGCCAAUGGUUCUCUGUAUGCAUGAUAUGAGAAUCUCUUUCAUACGUAUCAAUCAUGAAUUUUGUUUUUGGCUCUACAGAUCAAUUUAAGGCCAUAAAUGAUGAAGGAAUGCCAAUGUACCAAAGGCCGUUUAUGAGAGGAAAACUGUACAUUCACUUUACUGUAGAUUUCCCAGAGACAUUAUCCCUCGAGCAGUGCAAGAACCUUGAAGCGGUGCUGCCACCAAAACCCAAAACGCAAAUGACUGACAUGGAAUUGGAUGAGUGUGAGGAGACCACUUUGCAUGAUGUUAACAUUGAAGAGGAGAUGCGUAGGAAGCAGCAACAAG